CACCUGUGUCUCGUUCCAGUAAGGGCGCGGGGAGAGAAUAUAAACAUCGGACGAAGUCACAAUGGGAAGAGAGAGACGGACUCGACGCGAGCUGCCACAAACCCAAACUUCUCAGUCAGCAAGGGGGACCUUCGCUGACUUCAGAGCGACACAAGCCAGGCUAGAAGGAAGACCGUGGAUUUAUGUUGUGUACUUUUGAUGCUCUAUUUAAGUUGGUUGUUUUAUUUGGUGUGGAAUAAAAUCGUGUCAGUCUCGCCAACCUCGUCCUCUUCCUUCCUUAUCUCCACGAACACGCUACACUGUGUCUUUGGUGUGUUAUAAGUUGCCCAUGCAUGUAUUAGAAACGUAAAAUUGCAAAAAUUAAAGUGUCGGCACAAAAGAUGCAUUCUAUCUAAAAGCGAAUGCUCACCCAGACCUGCCUGAAACGCCUCGUGUAACCACACCCCCACAAAUCUACGUCAGUUCGUGGUAUGAUUUGACUAAGACCGCGCAAAUGUAUACGCAAGUAAGGUGGGCGUACCUGUCAGUACAAUUGCUUUGGAACCUGAUGUUCCAAAUAUGGUAAGAGGCGUUACAUUUCCAUCACACGCUUGCAGUAUUCGACCAAUCACUACACACUGAUUUUAACUGGCCAAUCAUAGCACACCUCCCUUUUCAGAGCGAUGAGCUUUGUAAAAAAUCUGCGCGUUUCAGAGAGGCGGGGCAAAGAGGAGAUACAAACAUGCACGGUAUGUGGAAAUGCAGCAUUUUUUAACCUUAAAUCGUGUACACAUUGCAUUACAUCUAAAACGAACGAUAAUAUUAAUUUUGGCCGUGUCAUAUGACCCCUUUAACUAUAACAAAAAUACAACUAUACUACAUUAUAAUAUACUAACUUAAAACAUUUUUGAGCCAGUAACUUCAUGUUCUGGACCCUCCAGCACUGUCUCUCCUCCUCCUGUAUCAGACAUUCUCUCUGCUGGAUGCUGCUGAUCUUCAGUGUUUGUCCUGUGUGUGUUCUCUUCUCCUCCAUCUGUGUUUACUGCCUCUGUCAGAAGAAAACUACAGGUUCUGAGAACAGUGCAGAGAUGCUCACAGUAAAUGUUUCAAAGGUGGAUCAAACAGAGAAACAUCUGUCUGAAAUGAGUAGCACUGGAAAGUUCUGCCUUUACUCUGAAUUCACUUAUAGACUACUACCAUCUGAUCAUCCCUAUGACAAGAUGUGACGCUCCCUGCGCAGUUUAUACAAACUCAGCUAUCAACGGUAGUAACUUACUGCACUCCUGGAUAUCUGAGUGAUGAACUUUCUCAAGCAUACAGUACACAAAAAGAUAAUUGAAGAAGUUAAAUGUAUUUUGAAUUUGAACAAAACAAAAAUACAGUAUUUUCAAAUGUUUUUUAAAAUAUAGAACUAAUAAUCGUGAUGACAAAAAGAGCUGAUUGGGCAAACUCUUUCAAGACAAGGAUGGUGUUUUGUUAAUGUUUGUUCUGUCACAGGUUUUUUUUUCAUAAGCACAAUGCUGUGAAUUGAUUUGCAAAGUGUCUGCGUCAUACACGUUAAGGACCUGUAAAAAUGGACAAAGUGUUCAGAGUACUGUGUGUUUUAAACACCUAAUCAUAGCUAAAUAGCCACUGAAAUUUGUUUUAAUUGUUUAUUGGAAUAAUAAAUGUAAA